CUGUGUCAGUUGCACAUGGUGGAGUCUGAAAGGGUUUCAAUCUCUGGUGGCGUGGCGGGAAGGCGGCUGAUGGAGGAGCGCGAGAGCGGAGUGGAGCCAGGCCAGAGUCUACAGUUGGAGGCCGAAGUGGACAGGUUGGGCCUACAGCAUAAACUGCUGCGGCUGCCGCUGAGCCGGAUCAAGGGGCUGAUGAAGGCUGAUCCCGAUGUCUCGCUGGCGAGUCAGGAGGCCGUGUUCGCCAUCGGCAAGGCCACGGAACUGUUUGUUGAAGUGAUUGCGAAGGAUGCAUACUCAUUCGCUUUGCGGGGAAAGCGUAAAACCAUCCAACGAAAGGAUGUGGACAAUGCAGUUGAUGUUACAGAUGAAUUUGCAUUUUUGGAAGGAACUCUGGACUGAAUUGGAGCCAAGCUUCACUAGCGGCCACAUUGACUAUAGAUGGAGAGCUGUGUUCAAAGAUCUCACUGUAUAAGUGAUUUGAUGAACUUUCCAUGUCAGCUCCUGAAUGCGAGAGUUUCAUAUUCCUGAGGGGAACAACCAUUUGAUGAGCUGUCUUCACAAAUCAAGCACUGGUCCUUCUGAGAAUUCCUGAAAAAAAAUGGGAAGAGUUAUCUACAUCUUCGAUAAAGAGAACAGAUUUCACUUAUGGAAUUUUGGUCAAGUAUUAGCAGUGAAUAGGGGACAUAACUUGAAACUUUGACAGUGAGUGCCUCUAAGAUGAAGGUGUACUCAAUAUUUCAACAUAUCACAAUCUUGUCAAAAAUCCAACCAGUCUUUAAAUACAGUACAUGCAAAAAGCAGCUGAACAGUUACUGCAUCACCGUCUUUCAUUAAAUGUCCUUACAGUUCAUCAACUGACUAUCUGCAAGAGCUAGAAUUACACAGGUCCCCUUAAGUUGAAGCAAACCAAACUCAAAAAGACACACAGGUCAUGGCAGGAAAGUCAGCAGCCUGGAUUUCAUAUUCUGAAACAGACCUGUAAAACCAAGCUGAACUGUACUGUUAUAAGUUUCCACAGAAUAUAAGAAAUCUAAUAGCAAUAAAUGAUAUUUUCUGCACAGUAGGACAAUUGCAGAAUUGUUCCUCUCAAUAGAAAUUAUUUAAAAUUGUCUAUAAUAAUAAUAAUCUAAUCAUUAUAGCUCUACCAGAGGGUCAAGCAGAAGUGAUUUACAGAGAUUAGAUGUCUCUUGUUGACUUGCACAAAGUUGGAUACCUCUCAGUAAAUUCCACAGAAAUUGGAUACUUCAGAGAGAAAUGCAUGAAGAUUGGAUACAGUACCUACAAAUAAUGUUGCAUGUAAACUGUAUUCUGCCUCUAACUUUAUUUUGACUUGCUGAAGAACAUUAUAUUGUUUAUUCUGUGUAAGGUAUACUUCACAUUUUUAAAUCAGGUUUUAAUACUGUAAAACCUAUGGCCCAAUGUCUAUAGUACUGAAUACAAAGAUGAGGUAUAUCAUUGCAAUUAAGUGAAGGCUACCUUGCACUCUAAAAGUCUGGAGAUUUUAGUUGAACAUAAUUAUGGGAAGGAUCUUGUACAUUCAACAUAAAGGUCUCACUAAUGAUUUAGGAUGCCUUCAAAAGAAUUUCCAGUGGCACAUCACUUUAGCAUGUUUGCAUUCCGCUGACACGAUUUUAGCAUAGCAGUAAUUUAAGCUGAUACUUUCUCUGAAAUAGUGAUCCAAUGAACACUUUUGGAGUGCACUAAACACUCUGCUAAUUAUCUUGUGAUAUCUUAAGACAGCUUUGCAAGAAAGGUCAAACAGUUGAAUAAAAUCCUAAUUUAGGAAGAUCUUUGGCAGUAUGUAAAUCUUUUCAAUAGAGCAAUAAAAGAACUCUGAUUCUUAAUAUCAUAAUAAAAUAAUGGAUUACCUUU